rnacentral:rRNA from 2 species
UUUUCAGAGAUGAGAAUGUGCCUUCGGGAACCGUGAGACAGGUGCUGCAUGGCUGUCGUCAGCUCGUGUUGUGAAAUGUUGGGUUAAGUCCCGCAACGAGCGCAACCCUUAUCCUUUGUUGCCAGCGGUCCGGCCGGGAACUCAAAGGAGACUGCCAGUGAUAAACUGGAGGAAGGUGGGGAUGACGUCAAGUCAUCAUGGCCCUUACGACCAGGGCUACACACGUGCUACAAUGGCGCAUACAAAGAGAAGCGACCUCGCGAGAGCAAGCGGACCUCAUAAAGUGCGUCGUAGUCCGGAUUGGAGUCUGCAACUCGACUCCAUGAAGUCGGAAUCGCUAGUAAUCGUGGAUCAGAAUGCCACGGUGAAUACGUUCCCGGGCCUUGUACACACCGCCCGUCACACCAUGGGAGUGGGUUGCAAAAGAAGUAGGUAGCUUAACCUUCGGGAGGGCGCUUACCACUUUGUGAUUCAUGACUGGGGUGAAGUCGUAACAAGGUAACCGUAGGGGAACCUGCGGUUGGAUCAC